rnacentral:rRNA from 1 species
AUUGAACGCUGGCGGCAGGCCUAACACAUGCAAGUCGAACGAGUGGCGGACGGGUGAGUAAUGUCUGGGAAACUGCCUGAUGGAGGGGGAUAACUACUGGAAACGGUAGCUAAUACCGCAUACCAUCGGAUGUGCCCAGAUGGGAUUAGCUAGUAGGUGGGGUAACGGCUCACCUAGGCGACGAUCCCUAGCUGGUCUGAGAGGAUGACCAGCAAAAAUGGAACUGAGAAACGGUCCAGACGCCUACGGGAGGCAGCAGUGGGGAAUAUUGCACAAUGGGCGCAAGCCUGAUCCAGCCAUGCCGCGGGGGUGAAGAAGGGCUUCGGGUUGUAAAGCACUUUAAGUUGGGAGGCGUUACCAGCAGAAUAAGCACCGGCUAACUUCGUGCCAGCAGCCGCGGUAAUAC